rnacentral:rRNA from 1 species
AACGAACGCUGGCGGCAUGCCUAACACAUGCAAGUCGAACGAGACCUUCGGGUCUAGUGGCGCACGGGUGCGUAACGCGUGGGAACCUGCCCUUAGGUUCGGAAUAACUCCCCGAAAGGGGUGCUAAUACCGGAUAAUGUCUUCGGCCCAAAGAUUUAUCGCCUUUGGAUGGGCCCGCGUUGGAUUAGCUAGUUGGUAGGGUAAAAGCCUACCAAGGCGACGAUCCAUAGCUGGUCUGAGAGGAUGAUCAGCCACACUGGGACUGAGACACGGCCCAGACUCCUACGGGAGGCAGCAGUGGGGAAUAUUGGACAAUGGGCGAAAGCCUGAUCCAGCAAUGCCGCGUGAGUGAUGAAGGCCUGAGGGUUGUAAAGCUCUUUUACCCGGGAUGAUAAUGACAGUACCGGGAGAAUAAGCUCCGGCUAACUCCGUG